ACCAGCUUCUUUCUAUGGUGCUACCCGUUCCAGGGUUAGGACUGUAACCACCAGCUUCUUUCUAUGGUGCUACCCGUUCCAGGGUUAGGACUGUAACCACCAGCUUCUUUCUAUGGUGCUACCCGUUCCAGGGUUAGGACUGUAACCACCAGAGGACUUGAAAAUGAGCCGGAGCUGAGAGGAUCACCAAAACUAAAGAGCUUCAACCAUGCGUACAACGAUCCGUGGAGAUCAGUGGACAAAGGGCUGAAACUUGGGUCUCACUGAAAAAAACGCAUGUUUGCCAAGAAAGAGGCCACUGUAAUUGAUGGGGGCUCAGGGCGAUACCAUUCUGCUCAUCUGAUGAAGGUGCUCAUGGGUGAGAUUAAAACUUUGAAGACCGAGAUCGAGUCAUUAAAGGUAGCCCAUCAGAAAGAGAAACAUUAUCUGAGGGCAGAGAUACGGGCGAAAGCUGAUGCAUUGGUCCAGAGCCAGGUGGUAUUGGUGGAGAGUCACUCCUCAUUAGUGGAGAUUCAGGCGGAGAUGUGUAACCGAAGAGAGAUACCAAAAGUGGGCACAGAAUACAAACUGGGAUGGAUCCCGAGGCAAAUGUGGCUUACCAGUGAACCACCGGGUGUUCAUCAUUAAUACUGUGUCUCAGAAGUUUCCGUCCAUGACUGAUGCAACCCGAAAAAUAAUUAAAGACGGAGUUAAUGAGUACUUGAGUUCACAGAGAAAGUCUGGACAUGGCCUGUUCUCCCUUAUGUAAGGACUUUCCCAUGUUUACUACAGUAUGUACUAUAUGCUAUGUUUUGUUUAAAAAAUAAUGCUAAAAAUAAUAUUUCAAAAUGCUGAAGUUUAUUUAGUAAUGGAUCCACAACGUAUUACUUGUUCAAAUAUGCCAUGAUAUUUUUGAGAUAUGUGUUGAAGCAAGUGAUGUCUGUUUUUUUGCCUUUUCUCGUUCACUCUAGGAUAAAUGAAAACGAGAUCUCCAAAAUAUAGUUACAUUUUAAGAACAAAUUCUUAUUUACAAGGACUCCUUCCUCCCCAACGGGGAUUUGAACCCCGGUCUCCCACUUGCCCCGCAUUCUGUAGUACAGACAUGGCCUGCUCUCCCUUAUGUAAGGAAUUAGGCACUUUCUCAUGUUUACUAUAGUAUGUAUUGUAGACUGCACAGUAGCCUAAUAAACAAACAAACACAUUUUGUUAAUAAAAUAAUGAUAAAAAAUA